CAACCUGCCGUCUACUCUUGGCCAGCCUUCUGAAAGGAAGAUUAAUCCAGGAUGGGAUCAUGAGUUCACAUGUCCGCAUGAUUAAAGGUAUUUUCCGGUAGACGAUGGGGAUGCGUUCCAUUAGAUAGUAGGCGGGGUAACGGCCCACCUAGUCAACGAUGGAUAGGGGUUCUGAGAGGAAGGUCCCCCACAUUGGAACUGAGACACGGUCCAAACUCCUACGGGAGGCAGCAGUGAGGAAUAUUGGUCAAUGGGCGAUGGCCUGAACCAGCCAAGUAGCGUGAAGGAUGACUGCCCUAUGGGUUGUAAACUUCUUUUAUAAAGGAAUAAAGUCGGGUAUGCAUACCCGUUUGCAUGUACUUUAUGAAUAAGGAUCGGCUAACUCCGUGCCAGCAGCCGCGGUAAUACGGAGGAUCCGAGCGUUAUCCGGAUUUAUUGGGUUUAAAGGGAGCGUAGAUGGAUGUUUAAGUCAGUUGUGAAAGUUUGCGGCUCAACCGUAAAAUUGCAGUUGAUACUGGAUGUCUUGAGUGCAGUUGAGGCAGGCGGAAUUCGUGGUGUAGCGGUGAAAUGCUUAGAUAUCACGAAGAACUCCGAUUG
rnacentral:rRNA from 1 species